rnacentral:rRNA from 1 species
AUAUCAGUCAUGCAUAGCAUAUCAAUAAGCGGAGGAAAAGAAACUAACAAGGAUUCCCUUAGUAACGGCGAGUGAAGCGGGAAGAGCUCAAAUUUGAAAUCUUCAAGGUUUUACCUUGACGAAUUGUAGUUUAAAGAAGUGUUUUCUGUUGAAGUUUUGGUAAAAGUUCUUUGGAAUAGGACAUCAUAGAGGGUGAGAAUCCCGUAUUUGACCAUUACUUUCAGCUUUGUGAUACACCUUCAAAGAGUCGGAUUGUUUGGGAAUGCAGUCCAAAAUGGGUGGUAAAUUUCAUCUAAAGCUAAAUAUUGGCGAGAGACCGAUAGCGAACAAGUACCGUGAGGGAAAGAUGAAAAGAACUUUGAAAAGAGAGUUAAACAGUACGUGAAAUUGUCAAAAGGGAAGCGUUUGACACCAGUGUUGUUUUCUCGAAAAUCAAUUAAAAAGAGUUGGAUUUUGUGUUGUAUUGACUUUAUCGGCUUUCUUCACUCUUUUCCAGCUUUUUUUAAUGCACUUUUCGUUUAACAAGUCAACAUCAGUUUCUUUUGUUGUAAAAAGGUCAUUGGAAGGUGGCUUUCUCUUCGGAGAAAGUGUUUAUAGCCUUUGACUCAUGCAAUCGGAGAGACUGAGGUCUGCAGCGUAGAUCCUUCGGGGUUAGAUACAUUUGUGCUAAGUUAUAGCUUUUCAUAGACAACUUGUUGACUAUGUUUAGUCUUGUAGCUUACUCGCUUAUGCUAUUUUACCUACGCUUAGGAUGUUGAACUCUAUCACACACAG